rnacentral:rRNA from 1 species
UACGGAGGGGGCUAGCGUUGUUCGGAAUUACUGGGCGUAAAGCGCACGUAGGCGGCUUUGUAAGUUAGAGGUGAAAGCCCGGGGCUCAACUCCGGAAUUGCCUUUAAGACUGCAUCGCUCGAAUUGUGGAGAGGUAAGUGGAAUUCCGAGUGUAGAGGUGAAAUUCGUAGAUAUUCGGAAGAACACCAGUGGCGAAGGCGACUUACUGGACACAUAUUGACGCUGAGGUGCGAAAUCGUGGGGAGCAAACAGG